ACCCCCACCUUCUCCUUCUCCCGACACAUCCCACCCUCGGCAGCGCCUCACCAUCACCCACCACCCACCCCGGCGCCCCACCUCCACCCCACUCGUGGCGCCCCACCUCCACCCCACCCACUGGCGCCCCACAACCACCCCACCCCUCUUCCGCCUGGCCGGUGCCGCCGCCCAUACUCUUCCUCCCGGUCGGGGCCGCCGCGCCUCCUCUUCCUCACGACCGAGGCCGCCGCGCUUCCUCUUCCUCCCGGAAUCGCCACCGCCCCUGGAUCCCCUUCCUUCUUCCACCUUUCUUCAACGCCCACGGCCAGCCCACCGCGGCCUCUCCUAGUCGCCGCAUACCUCACGGAUCCACCUCGGUGUCGCCCAGAUCUGGCGGAGCACGCGUCCGAUUAGCCACCGGGCUUUGGUGGCCGUGGGUGACCGCUGUCGGAGGAGGAGGUUGGGGGGAGGAGCGGACCACGGGAUCUGGCGGAUCCGCGUACGAGGGGAGGUGGUGAGCCUGUCGCGGCGACGGGGAUCGCAGGUUCUGAAGGUGGCCAGAGAUCGCCGUCCUCCUCUCUCUUUCCCCCCGUCCUCCACUACCUUCUAUCGGCGACCUCUGCAAGCAGCCCGGACGAUGACGCCACGACUAGCUCAAGAUGCCUCCAGCCCCCGUGCAGCUCGCGUUGUUCGUCCAUGCGGCGCGGAGCGCGUGUACGUGCAGUCCUCGAAGCUGAACCAUGGUAGCCGGGAGGCUCACAAGAAGGGAAGCGACAAAGGGAGCUCCACCCCAUGUGGAGAACAGGAACGUUGCUGAAGCCAUAAAAAACUGGGCGGUGCAGUCCGUCGAGGCAUCUUUUGAAGCUCACUUCAUUUUGUUUUAUAGCUCGCCGUGGACUAAAAAAUGAGCCAAGUUUCCUCGCGCGACGCCGUUCAGUUCGGCAAGCCGUGGCAUGCAGUGCGCUGGCAUGGAUUGCAGCGCUGGCAUCUUCAUCUUCCCCAGUUCGUCUCAAAAAAGGGGUGUAGUGCAGGAGAUGCCAAAACGACAUCUUCCUGUUCAGUUUUUUGAUUUUGGGCAGAUGUUCAAAUGAAGUUCAGUUUUUGCAGCCCACAUUCAGCGGUGUGAGCAGCUCCCAAGUGCAGUUUGAAGUCCGCAGUGCACUCCGGUGGGGGCAAAGGUGCACUCUUGUCCUGCAUUGUGCAGGCCGAGAAGUGGACGAGACGAGACGAGCCUGGUGGUUCUUGCAGUUUCUAUUGGGUGCGAUGUGAUUCACACCGUGUGGGUCGCGGCAUGCGGUUCCGAGUGGAUGUUGGUGAAGUCGUGUUUGUGUGUGUGUGUUUCAGUCAUGUGUAUAUAAUUUCUUUUUCUCUGUUAUUAUGUGGAUGUUUGCUUGUGCAAACUUAUAUUAAAUGUGUCUUUUCUUUAUUAUUUGCAUCA